rnacentral:lncRNA from 1 species
CACAGAGUCCUGGCAGAUAUGAGCACGUGGUGUAGUAGCAGCUGCCCACUGUGGACCCCUUCUCUACCCACUUGGAUUUGUUUCCUGCUCCUGACUUCCAGCAAAACUGGGCAGCAGGCAGCAUUUCACAGACAGCCUCUUCCUGCUAGAUGCUCUCCACAGUCAAGUAGAGUCCCCCCACUUCAGUUUCUCACCCCUCUGGCUCCCCAGGGCUCCCCGACAUCAAAGCUUCUACGAGAAAGCUCCGCAGUGGGGGCUGCUUACCCACAUAGCUGUCCUCAAGCCCCGGGGAAUUAAUUCCUUGACCUCCCUGCCCUCAGAUCCUGUAUUGAUGGGAAACUCAUACUUGAUAGAUGAGUGAGCUGACUGGCAGCGAAGAGGACAUAGAGGCUCUUCCAGGGCCUCCCAGUGAGUCAGCCUGCACAGCUGCCCUAGGGCCCCAAGCUGUGUGAUUCAUGUGACCACUGAGGCCUCAGCUGCCUCAGACAGCUCAGGCUGUGCCAUGAGUCACACCUUUGCUUCAUGGCCUGGCCCCUGGAGCUGAAGGGGUGUCACGCCACAGUUACUCUCUUGUUCACUUGUAUUCAUGGUCUUCAACAACCAGGAAAGGCAAGGCUGGACUUCAGCUCUUGAGAAGACAGGGCCCAUAGGACUAGCUUGUUAACUGCUGGAAAAACCACAUACUGGGGCUCUGCAGACCCACAGGGUAGAGAAUCCCAGGAGCCAGGACUUCUGUUUGACCACUCUUCAAAUCUGCUAGAGCCAGGGAGAGGGCACGGCAUGGCCAGAGGGCCCCACUCACAGAGAAUUCUGAUACUCUGUUGACUGGACUCACCCUCAGACGGGAGUAGCAAUUCGCAAAGCAAAUGCUGUGUUUUCUGAGAGACCUGCCCAACAUUUCCAUCUGCCAUGGUGGGCUUGUGCCAGAAGCCCCAACAAGACACACUGGGACUUCUCCGAGGGCCCUCUAGGAAGGGGCUGCCACAACCAUUGUCCCUACAAGAGGUCCCAUGUGGCCCCAGUGAGAGGCAGUGGAAAAACCGUGAAGGGGUUCUUGGGAAAGCAGGGAGCUUUGGUGGGGACCCAGUUCUAUCAGCAAACCUUUUGAGCACCUGCUGCUCCAUGUACUCUUGGGAAAGCAACGAUUAAUAAGACCCAGUCCUGCCCUCGAGGAGCCAGCUCAUGGUUUGGUGAGGAAGCCCAGGCACACGGCUAACCCUGGAGUAAGCCAGCCUGUUAUGUGAUACAGGGAGGGCAGAGUGCUGAAGGCCGGGAAAGGAAGAGCAGGAGCUGGGCCUUGAGCAGACUGUUUGGUGUGGCCGAUGGCCCAAGAGCCAACCAGAGGUUCUGUUGAGAUUUUCAACCCAGGAGGUGGGCAGAGGGGUGGCACUGGGGGCAGA